UUUUAAUUUGGUCCAACUUUUCAUGGCUCCUGACCACUGAAGCAGUCCACCCGAGACUGCUCUGUUGCUUUCUCCUCCUGUAACAGUGUCAGUCCAGACCGCUGAGCACGGAGAGCUUUGUUGUGACACCACAAACUGUAUUCUCAGCCCUCCAGAAAAUAUGUCAGCAAUAAAUGGAAGGCAGCACCUUGGCAUUUAUGGAGAAUUCAGCUGGCAGUGGGCACGGAACUCAGCAUCCAGGUGCAUUGGCCUCCCAGGGAGCACCUUCGCCUACUAAGCAGCAGCAAAGCGAUGGCACCAGGACUGAGACUGGAACCCACUGGUGAAGAUGAGGUUUAUUUAUCUCAUGAUGACCUCUGUAAUACCUCCCAAAUUAGUGUUUGCUGCCAAAUUCAUUGGCAUGCUCUUUACCAGCCCUUCUUAAGAUAUUAAAGAAGAAAAUAAAUAAAACAUUACUUUGCUACAACUGGAAAGGAAGAUUCCUGAAGGAGAAAAGAAGAAGGAAAUAGAGGUAAGAGCCAAAAGCAGAGUGCAAGAUUCAAGAAGAAGAUGGAGGGAGACAAAGGAAGGGAAAACAUAAGAGAUGGUAAAGUGGGGGUGGAAGAUAUAUUUUAAAAAGGAAAGAGAAACCAACUAAACUAAACAACCAACAUGUUCUCUGACAGUGGGGUGGUGUGGGCCAGGUCAGUGAUGCUGAGGUCUCAUACUGCGAUAGGAGUAUCCCCAUGCC